rnacentral:rRNA from 1 species
CCCUUAGAUGUUCUGGGCUGCACGCGCGCUACACUGAUACGCUCAACGAGUUUUAACCUUGCCUGGAAAGGUUGGGUAAUCUUUUUAAAACGCAUCGUGAUGGGGAUAGAUUAUUGCAAUUAUUAAUCUUCAACGAGGAAUUCCUAGUAAGCGCGAGUCAUCAGCUCGUGCUGAUUACGUCCCUGCCCUUUGUACACACCGCCCGUCGCUCCUACCGAUUGAGUGCUCAGGUGAAUAGUUCGGACUGCAGCAAUGUUUGGAUCCCGAACGUUGCAGCGGAAAGUUUAGUGAACCUUAUCACUUAGAGGAAGGAGAAGUCGUAACA